GCACUAAAUGAUAUCAGUCAUUAUGUGAUAGAUCACCCAUUUCUAAUGAGCAACUAAGCUCAGAAACACUAUGAUCAACUCCCGUUAUGACAAAAUAUUGUUGCAAUGAAUAGAAAAUAGAAAAAAAAUUGAACAUCAUAAAAAAGCUCACCACCUCGAAACACCGCUCUUAAUGAGUGGCGAUCUCGGUUCAUUUGAUUUUCGAGGUUAUUUUUUAUUUUUUUUUUAUUUUUUUUUCUUAUACAAUUGUUCGCCUUAAUUUUUUAUCGCUUACCGCAGUAUAUAACUGGGCUGCAUCAAGUAUUCAGUUACAGUUGUGUCGUAGCUCUAAAACUCUUUACAUCUUUUCAAAAAUCAACAAAUCCCAAAACAUCAACAUGAACUUCCAACCAAUCCUCGCUCUUUUCUUCGCCCUCAUUGCCGUCGCUUUCGCCGCCCCGCAAUACGGCCACGAAUCAUCCGGCUACAAAUCCUCCGGACACGGCUACGAAAGCAAGUCCUACGAACCCGCUACCUCCUACCAGAACGUCAACCUCUACCCCCAACACGGCCAUGGCUACGAGCAUAAGGAAUCCAGCCACAAAUACUGAAGACUGCCGCCCCUUCGCCGAACCCACCUCACUCAAUUCAUCGCGAUUAAUUUAUUCCACGCCUCAUCCGAAACGCAAUCAUCUUUAAUUUCCUAUCGUCAUAAUGAACAAAAAUAAAAUUUAAUAUAAAAAGAUAAUAUCAAUAAAAACUGCAAAAUUCAAAAUUAAUACUGGACUUUGAUUAUUGCACCCACUCUGCAGAUCUUCUUACAGUUCCCUGUGCAACCAACAACAACACCCAAACUCAAAAUGGCCUUCUUCAAAUGGUUCAUCUUCGCCGCCGUCGUCGUUGUUGCCGCCGCUGAAUACGGAUCUUCCGGAUACGGACACGGAUCUUCCGGAUCUUCUGGAUACGGUUCCUCUUCAUACGGUCACGGUUCUCCGGAUCUUCUGGAUACGGUUCCUCCUCAUACGGACACGGUUCUUCCGGAUACGGACAUGGAUCAUCCGGAUACGGAUCUUCUUCAUACGGACACGGCGAACCCGCCGUCUCCUACCAGAACGUGAACCUUUACCCACAACAACAACACGGCUACUCCGCUCCCAGCUACGGACACUCCGCUCCCAGCUACUCCUCUCAUGGAUCCAGCUACGCUGCUCCCAGCUACUCUCAUGGCUCCAGCUACUAAGAGUGCACUUCAUCACUACCCAUCCAUCCACAUCCCUCUUAAUUUAUUUCACCCCCAUCCACUUCAAACAUUUUAAUUUAUUGAACCAUCCAAAAUUCAAAAAUAAAAAUCCGAAAGCUCAUACAACGUCUUUUUAAUUUCUCUUACACGAAGAAAGCAUGAAACGAAAGUUCGUGCCUUUAAACUAAACAUUUAUGCAUAGGAAAACCGAAUGUUUUUUACCAUGCUGAGGGCUCAUUUUUUAGGAAAUAUUUGCGUGUGUAUUUUAAAAAAACAAAAAAAAAGAAGAAAAAACAAAAUAGAAUUGAUGCACAUCUUGUACACUCAUAGAAAAAAUAUUUUAGAUGGAACUAACAAUCUAAGCAAUUUCAUGUAACGAAACAAAGGGUAAAAUUUGAGGAUCAAAACUAUUAAUGAGCAA
rnacentral:lncRNA from 1 species